rnacentral:rRNA from 1 species
GCUGUGGAUAGGGGUGAAAGGCUAAACAAAUCCGGAAAUAGCUGGUUCUCCCCGAAAACUAUUUAGGUAGUGCGUCACAUAUCACUUCCGGGGGUAAAGCACUGUUAUGGCUAGGGGGUCAUCGCGACUUACCAAAACCAUGGCAAACUCUGAAUACCGGAAAGUGCGAGUGUGGCAGACAGACAGUGGGUGCUAACGUCCAUUGUCAAGAGGGAAACAACCCAGACCGCCAGCUAAGGUCCCCAAGACACAGUUAAAGGUGGGAAACGAAGUGGGAAGGCAUAGACAGCUAGGAGGUUGGCUUAGAAGCAGCCAUCCUUAAAGAAAGCGUAAUAGCUCACUAGUCGAGUCGUCCUGCGCGGAAGAUGUAACGGGGCUCAAACUGUGCACCGAAGCUGCGGAUAUCGAAAGAUAUGGUAGGGGAGCGUUCUGUAGGUCUGUGAAGGUGUCUCGUAAGGGAGUGCUGGAGAUAUCAGAAGUGCGAAUGCUGACAUGAGUAGCGA